GGAGAGAUGGCUGAGUGGUUGAUAGCUCCGGUCUUGAA
rnacentral:tRNA from 1 species